rnacentral:rRNA from 1 species
AUUGAACGCUGGCGGCAUGCCUAACACCUGCAAGUCGAACGAGCGGCGGACGUGUGAGUAAUGUAUAGGCACCUGCCUGAUAGAGGGGGCUAACUACUGGACACGGUAGCUAAUACCGCAUCCCGUCAUAUGUGCCCAGAUGGGAUUCGCGAGUAGGUGGGGUAACGGCUCAAAUAGGCGACGAUCCCUAGCUGGUCUGAGAGGAUGACCAGCCACGCUGGAACUGAGACACGGUCCAGACUCCUACGGGCGGCAGCAGUGGGGAAUAUUGAACAAUGGGCGCAAGCCUGAUGCAGCCAUGCCGCGUGUGUGAAGAAGGCCUUCGGGUUGUAAAGUACUUUCAGCGGGGAGGCGUUACCCGCAGAAGAAGCACCGGCUAACUCCGUGCCAGCAGCCGCGGUAAUUC